CAGCACAUUACUACAAUUGGAACAAUAUAGAGGUUAGCACAGCCCCUGCACAAGGAUGAUACACAAAUUCAUGAAGUGUUCCACAUUUUU
rnacentral:snRNA from 1 species